AGUGAACGCUGGCGGUAGGCCUAACACAUGCAAGUCGAACGGCAGCACAGUAAGAGCUUGCUCUUACGGGUGGCGAGUGGCGGACGGGUGAGGAAUACAUCGGAAUCUACUUUUUCGUGGGGGAUAACGUAGGGAAACUUACGCUAAUACCGCAUACGACCUACGGGUGAAAGCAGGGGACCUUCGGGCCUUGCGCGAUUGAAUGAGCCGAUGUCGGAUUAGCUAGUUGGCGGGGUAAAGGCCCACCAAGGCGACGAUCCGUAGCUGGUCUGAGAAGAUGAUCAGCCACACUGGAACUGAGACACGGUCCAGACUCCUACGGGAGGCAGCAGUGGGGAAUAUUGGACAAUGGGCGCAAGCCUGAUCCAGCCAUACCGCGUGGGUGAAGAAGGCCUUCGGGUUGUAAAGCCCUUUUGUUGGGAAAGAAAUCCAGCCGGCUAAUACCUGGUUGGGAUGACGGUACCCAAAGAAUAAGCACCGGCUAACUUCGUGCCAGCCGCCGCUGUAAAAC
rnacentral:rRNA from 1 species